UGCCGGGUCCCAUACAAUGGCUUUGAUGACGAAUCCCGCUAGGUCCGGAAGGAAGCAACGGUACUCGUCGAACCAUGUGAUAUGGGGUGCUCGGCAUUU
rnacentral:SRP_RNA from 1 species